CUUCUGGUUAGCGAUAUCGGGAAACGGUAUGUCGCGCAGCUACGCCGUCUGGAUAAUGGCUGAAAGCCUCUUAAGCCCAGAAGCCCAUCUAGAAAGUGAUGCACGUGAUGUUGGACCGAUACGAAUAAUCAUACUCAAAAGGUCCGCUUCAUAGGUAACCCAAUGUAGAAGACAUUGUGUGAACGAAGGUACUGUAAGCAGUGGAGUGGCAUUACGUCCACGACCUGUUGAGGUUCAGCUUCGCUUCUAGGUUUCC
rnacentral:ncRNA from 1 species